rnacentral:rRNA from 1 species
AGGCUGUCUCCACCCGAGACUCAGUGAAAUUGAACUCGCUGUGAAGAUGCAGUGUACCCGCGGCAAGACGGAAAGACCCCGUGAACCUUUACUAUAGCUUGACACUGAACACUGGUCCUUGAUGUGCAGGAUAGGUGGGAGGCUUUGAAGCGCGGACGCCAGUUCGUGUGGAGCCAUCCUUGAAAUACCACCCUUUAAUGGCUGGUGUUCUAACGUAGACCCGUGAUCCGGGUUGCGGACAGUGUCUGGUGGGUAGUUUGACUGGGGCGGUCUCCUCCUAAAGAGUAACGGAGGAGCACGAAGGUUAGCUAAUCCUGGUCGGACAUCAGGAGGUUAGUGCAAAGGCAUAAGCUAGCUUGACUGCGAGCGUGACGGCGCGAGCAGGUGCGAAAGCAGGUCUUAGUGAUCCGGUGGUUCUGAAUGGAAGGGCCAUCGCUCAACGGAUAAAAGGUACUCCGGGGAUAACAGGCUGAUACCGCCCAAGAGUUCAUAUCGACGGCGGUGUUUGGCA